rnacentral:rRNA from 1 species
UACAGAGGUCUCGAGCGUUAGGCGGAAUCACUGGGCUUAAAGCGUGUGUAGGCGGAUCGGUAAGUACCUUGUGAAAUCCCACAGCUUAACUGUGGAACUGCUUGGUAUACUGCCAGUCUUGAGCCAGCUAGGGGCUACCGGAACAAAUGGUGGAGCGGUGAAAUGCGUAGAUAUCAUUUGGAACGCCAAUGGGUGAAAAACAGGUAGCUGGGGGCUGUGCUGACGCUGAGACACGAAAGCCAGGGGAGCAAACGGG